rnacentral:miRNA from 1 species
GUUAAAUUUAACUUUCAGACACACAGCAAAUCAUUUUGUAGUAUAAAUAUGUCCUAUGAAAUAUUUGAGACAUACUUAUACUAAAAAAAAUUGUUAUUGUUUUGAAAU